rnacentral:rRNA from 1 species
AGUGUUCGAUUAAGCCAUGCGAGUUAAAUGUUCUUCGUGAACAUAGCAGACUGCUCAGUAACACGUGGAUAACCUGCCCUUAGGACUGGCAUAACCCCGGGAAACUGGGGAUAGUUCCGGAUAGAUCAUAAAUGCUGGAAUGCUUUAUGAUUGAAAGGUUUCGACCGCCUUAGGAUGGAUCUGCGGCCUAUCAGGUUGUAGUGGGUGUAAUGUACCUACUAGCCUACGACGGGUACGGGUUGUGGAAGCAAGAGCCCGGAGAUGGAUUCUGAGACAUGAAUCCAGGCCCUACGGGGCGCAGCAGGCGCGAAAACUUUACAAUGCGGGAAACCGUGAUAAGGGAACACUGAGUGCUAGCAUUUAUGUUAGCUGUCCACAUGUGUAAAUAGCAUGUGAUAGCAAGGGCUGGGCAAGACCGGUGCCAGCCGCCGCGGUAACACCGGCAGCCCGAGUGGUGAUCACUAU